UGGGGAAUUUUGGACAAUGGGCGAAAGCCUGAUCCAGCAAUGCCGCGUGUGUGAAGAAGGCCUUCGGGUUGUAAAGCACUUUUGUCCGGAAAGAAAUCCUUGGCUCUAAUACAGUCGGGGGAUGACGGUACCGGAAGAAUAAGCACCGGCUAACUACGUGCCAGCAGCCGCGGUAAUACGUAGGGUGCAAGCGUUAAUCGGAAUUACUAGGCGUAAAGCGUGCGCAGGCGGUUUGCUAAGACCGAUGUGAAAUCCCCGGGCUCAACCUGGGAACUGCAUUGGUGACUGGCAGGCUAGAGUAUGGCAGAGGGGGGUAGAAUUCCACGUNUAGCAGUGAAAUGCGUAGAGAUGUGGAGGAAUACCGAUGGCGAAGGCAGCCCCCUGGGCCAAUACUGACGCUCAUGCACGAAAGCGUGGGGAGCAAACAGGAUUAGAUACCCUGGUAGUCCACGCCCUAAACGAUGUCAACUAGUUGUUGGGGAUUCAUUUCCUUAGUAACGUAGCUAACGCGUGAAGUUGACCGCCUGGGGAGUACGGUCGCAAGAUUAAAACUCAAAGGAAUUGAC
rnacentral:rRNA from 1 species